UGGGAUCUGCCGAUGGUGAUGCUGCCUACGUUUACUCCUCUCCUCCUCCGCCGUAUGAGUACAAAUCGCCGCCACCUCCUUCCCCUUCCCCACCUCCUCCUUAUCUUUACAAGUCGCCGCCACCUCCUUCACCGUCUCCUCCUCCUCCUCCUUAUGUGUACAAGUCACCGCCACCUCCUUCACCGUCCCCACCACCACCAUACGUGUACAAGUCGCCACCACCACCUUCCCCGUCUCCGCCACCACCAUAUGAGUACAAGUCGCCGCCACCACCUUCCCCGUCUCCACCACCACCAUAUGAGUACAAAUCUCCUCCUCCACCAUCACCGUCACCUCCCCCCCCUUACCACCACUCCUCUCCACCACCACCUUCGCCAUCUCCUCCUCCACCUUACCACGACUCCUCUCCACCACCACCUUCGCCAUCUCCUCCUCCACCUUACCACGACUCCUCUCCACCACCACCUUCGCCAUCUCCUCCUCCACCUUACCACGACUCCUCUCCACCACCACCUUCGCCAUCUCCUCCUCCACCUUACCACGACUCCUCUCCACCACCACCUUCGCCAUCUCCUCCUCCACCUUACCACGACUCCUCUCCACCACCACCAUAUGAGUACAAAUCUCCUCCUCCACCAUCACCGUCACCUCCCCCACCUUACGAGUACAAGUCUCCUCCUCCUCCUUCACCGUCACCACCGCCACCAUACUACUACAAGUCACCGCCGCCACCAUCACCCUCUCCUCCUCCACCAUACUACUAUAAAUCUCCACCACCACCUUCUCCAUCUCCGCCGCCACCUUACCACUACUCUUCUCCACCACCACCUAAGAAAUCACCUCCACCACCAUACUACUACAAAUCUCCACCACCACCUUCGCCAUCUCCUCCUCCACCUUACCACUACUCCUCUCCACCACCACCUAAAAAAUCACCUCCACCACCAUACUACUAUAAGUCUCCACCACCACCUUCACCAUCUCCUCCACCACCGUACUACUAUAAGUCUCCGCCGCCACCAUCACCCUCUCCUCCACCACCAUACUAUUAUAAAUCCCCACCACCACCUUCACCAUCUCCUCCACCGCCGUACUACUACAAGUCCCCACCACCACCUUCUCCGUCUCCUCCACCACCAUAUUACUACAAAUCUCCACCACCGCCAUCACCAUCACCUCCACCACCAUACUACUACAAAUCUCCACCACCGCCAUCACCAUCACCUCCACCACCAUACUACUACACAUCCCCAAAUCUCCACCACCGCCAUCACCAUCACCUCCACCACCAUACUACUACAAAUCCCCUCCACCUCCGGCGAAAUCUCCCCCACCACCUCCGUACUAUUACAAGUCUCCGCCGCCAC
rnacentral:lncRNA from 1 species